rnacentral:rRNA from 1 species
CAGUCGCCACGGUAAUACAGAGGGUGCGAGCGUUAAUCGGAUUUACUGGGCGUAAAGCGUGCGUAGGCGGCUUCUUAAGUCGGAUGUGAAAUCCCUGAGCUUAACUUAGGAAUUGCAUUCGAUACUGGGAAGCUAGAGUAUGGGAGAGGAUGGUAGAAUUCCAGGUGUAGCAGUGAAAUGCGUAGAGAUCGGAAGGAACAUCUGUGGCGAAGGCGACUAUCUGGGCCAACACUGACACUGAGGCACGAAAGCGUGGGGAGCAAACAGGAUUAGAUACCCGUGUAGUCCCUGUCUCUUAUAC